UUUUACAGUGUACUGUAUCUCAGAGGGGCUGGACUUGGAGAAAUGACAAUGCAACAAGAUGUCCUGAGAAGAAAGACAGAGACACAACUGCAUCUUCCAGACCUCCAGUGCUCUCAUCAGAUCCUCAUCACAGACUGACAAAGUUCACUGGAUAAAGAGAACGACAUGUGAAAAUGAAAGACUCUUUCAGAAGGUCCAGUGCUACAGAACAGCAGUCCUACAGAAAUCUCAGAACUACCAGAUGAAUCUGAGAAAAGUAACGCAUUCAACUGACUGAAGAUCAAGCAAGACUUCUAUCCCUUCCCUUGUGUGCAGGUAUAAGGUACGAGUAGAUGCUGUCAGGAGAUUGAAUGCGGUAUCUUCAUAGAACCAAAUUUGACUGACACCUGCUUGUGACCACAAGAGAAGACUAUCUGAGUGGUGGAGCGAGAUCCAUGAGCACACUAGUGCAGUGCUCAAAAGUGGAACACCCUGAGUUCACACCAGGUGUGCCUCUAACCCUGGCAGAGGCAGAAGAGUUCCUUAGGGGGACCAACGAGGAGAUUGAACAGACUCAACUGGUGGCUUAAAAGCCCGCUGUUUGCUCCAACUGAUCAAGAGCAUCCAAGAACAGAUGAAGGAUCGACGAGCACCACAGUGCUUAGCAGCAAAAAGAGAAAUUCAACAGAAACUGAUUAAAUCACCCUGAUGCUGAAGCAUAGAACGAAGACAUUUAGAUGCGGAAGAGGACAAAAUAGUUGUCUACAGUGAAUUUUUACCCACUGUUGUAGAAUAUAGUAAAAAGCUUAUUGAAGGUCAAGGAAAGUGAUUAAGUGUUGUGAGGAAAAGUCAUGCUAUGAUUAAGUGAUCAUUUUAUGAUCAAAUGGGGGAACUGAUAGAUUUUCUUAUCAGCCUGACUUUUCUUUCCUUGUUUUUCCUCACCUGGUCUUCACGGAUGCAAGGGUAGAACGGAGACUGGUUGUUAUGGUUUCGUCACACAUCUGGUUUUAAUGUACACAAUGUAUAUGUUUGUGUGUUUCUUGGAAAGCAGCCAAGAAAGGGUCCCUACUUUUUAGGCCUUACUGGAGCCCAAGGCAGGCAGGGGCACUGGACCAGGUGUUGACCAAAUUUAGACUUGUUUUUCUAUAUGUACCACAUUCCUAUAUCAUGAAAGUAUAUUCUCAUUGGACAAUUGUUACACCACCCCCUGAACAUGUUUAAAAGCCCUGUACUGAAGUAAGUCUGGGAGGAGGUUUUGUGAACGGAUUGGCUUCAUGUUCAUGACUCUUUCCCAUAGGCCCAUGCAUUCAAUGAGUGAAAAAGACAAACUGAGAAUGAGGCACGAAUCGGGACCAUAAAUGUAAGAUUAAAUAACCUUGAACAUACAUACACACAUUAGUAUACCCAGAUGACCACACAAAUAGCACUCUGAAGAUCAGCACUGGCAGCCAUUUUUCUUCAGCUGCAUGCACCAUCUAAGUAUAACACUGGACAAGCACCAAAUGAGAGUCAAAUGGCUUUGGCGAGGAAGUUAUUGCUGGUCAGUUGGCUUGUUAUUUUAUUGGGAUAAUAAUAAACACUCUCACUUUCUCAUCACCUUCA